AGUAACGCGUGGAUAAUCUGCCCUAUGAUCGGAAAUACAGUUGAAACGGCUGCUAAUACCGGAUACGCUCAAGAUGAACUUUUUGAGGAAAGAUGGCCUCUGCUUGCAUGCUAAUCGCAUAGGGAUGAGUCCGCGUCCCAUUAGCUUGUUGGCGGGGUAACGGCCCACCAAGGCAACGAUGGGUAGCCGAUUUGAGAGGAUGAUCGGCCACACUGGAACUGAAACACGGUCCAGACUCCUACGGGAGGCAGCAGUGGGGAAUAUUGCGCAAUGGGCGAAAGCCUGACGCAGCGACGCCGCGUGAGGGAAUGAAGGUUUUCGGAUCGUAAACCUCUGUCAGUAAGGGAAGAAACUACGUUGUGCUAAUCAGCUAGCGUACUGACGGUACCUUCAAAGGACGCACCGGCUAACUCCGUGCCAGCCGCCGC
rnacentral:rRNA from 1 species